UUUAAAAUUCCCACAUUAGCCGACAAGCAGACUCCACUAACAUUGCCAUGCCAGUAUAUGACUCCGGAGUCCCGCCUCUGGUAUAACCCCAAUGGUGCCAUCCGCACCCUCCGCCGAAGUGGAUCCUCCCACUACUCCUUGACCCCUGUGAAGGUGGAGCACGUCGGAAUGUGACGUUACGUGCCUCCGUGGUCCUCCACUGUCCAGCUGCAGCCAUCGCAACACUGACUGACACACGCUCACUGACGGACACACAUUCUUGCGUACACUCGUAU